AUGACCUCCACCAUGGCAUGGUCACCUCUCCUCCUUGCCCUCGUCAUUCACUGCACAGGGUCCUGGGCCCAGUCUGUGCUGACUCAGCUGCCCUCAGUGUCUGGGGCCCUAGGUCAGAAGGUCACCGUCUCCUGCAUCGGAAGUGCCAACAACAUCGGUAUUUUUGGUGUGAGUUGGUACCAACAGCUCCUAGGAAAGGCCCCUAAACUCCUCAUGUAUUCUAGUAGCAAUCGACCCUCGGGGGUUCCUGAUCGAUUUUCUGCAUCCAACUCUGGCAACACAGGCUCUCUGACCAUCAGUGGGCUCCAGGCUGAGGAUGGGGCUGAUUAUUGCUGCCAGUCCUUUGACAGUACUAUGGAUGGUGACACAGUGCUCCAGGCCUGUGGGGAAGUGAGACAAAAACCUGCUGUCCCCACAGCAAUGGGACUUCCCAUCCAGUCCUGA